GUCCCUUUUUAACGUUAUAUGCUAGUGGGGGCAUCAUCUGUGUCCCUUUGGACACCUUCCCCAUUUUUUUUUUUAGAAGUUACUAUUAAUAAAAUUAAUUUUAACCAUGACAUUUUAUAUUUUAAUAUUUUAUGAUGUAUUUAACUGAGUAGUUAUUGUUGCAAAUUUCAUUAGAAAUUUGAAUUGAGAUCAUUUUUGUAAUAAGGGAAAGGGGG
rnacentral:lncRNA from 1 species